rnacentral:rRNA from 1 species
ACUGACCCGCUAGCCCGACCUUAACCAAAAAUAACAAGACAAAUUAACUAAACCCAAAAACACCAACACCCACACAACAAAUCAUUUUUCCCCCUUAGUAUGGGCGACAGAAAAGGAAUCUACGGAGCGAUAGAGAAAGUACCGCAAGGGAAUGCUGAAAAACAAAUGAAAUAAACAAGUGAAGCCCAAAAAAGCAGAGAUA